UACGUAGGGUGCGAGCGUUGUCCGGAAUUAUUGGGCGUAAAGGGCUCGUAGGCGGUUUGUCGCGUCGGGAGUGAAAACACCGGGCUUAACUCGGUGCUUGCUUUCGAUACGGGCAGACUAGAGGCAUGCAGGGGAGAACGGGAUUCCUGGUGUAGCGGUGAAAUGCGCAGAUAUCAGGAGGAACACCGGUGGCGAAGGCGGGUCUCUGGGCCGAUACUGACGCUGAGGAGCGAAAGCGUGGGGAGCGAACAGG
rnacentral:rRNA from 1 species